AGAUUGAACGCUGGCGGCAUGCUUUACACAUGCAAGUCGAGCGGCAGCGCGGGGGCAACCCUGGCGGCGAGCGGCGAACGGGUGAGUAAUGCAUCGGAACGUGUCCCGUAGUGGGGGAUAACGCCGGGAAACCGGCGCUAAUACCGCAUACGCUCUACGGAGGAAAGCAGGGGACUUCGCAAGAGGCCUUGUGCUAGGGGGAGCGGCCGAUGUCCGAUUAGCUAGUUGGUGGGGUAACGCUCACCAAGGCGACGAUCGGUAGCUGGUCUGAGAGGAUGAUCAGCCACACUGGGACUGAGACACGGCCCAGACUCCUACGGGAGGCAGCAGUGGGAAUUUUGGACAAGUGGGGCAACCCUGAUCCAGCCAUGCCGCGUGCGGGAAGAGGCCUUCGGUGUAACCGUCUUUAGCGGACGAACGGCGCGGCUAUACCUGCGUUAGUUGACGGUACCGGACGGAAUAGCGACCG
rnacentral:rRNA from 1 species